rnacentral:rRNA from 1 species
UCCGUAGGCGGUGCGGCAAGUCGGGGGUGAAAUCUCUGGGCUUAACUCAGAGGCUGCCUCCGAAACUGCCGUGCUCGAGUGUGGGAGAGGCGAGCGGAAUUGCAGGUGUAGCGGUGAAAUGCGUAGAUAUCUGCAGGAACACCCGUGGCGAAGGCGGCUCGCUGGACCAUUACUGACGCUGAGGGACGAAAGCUAGGGGAGCAAACAGGAUUAGAUACCCUGGUAGUCCUAGCCCUAAACGAUCAGGACUUGGGGGUGUCUCCCGUUCGGGAGACGUCCCGGAGCUAACGCGUUAAGUCCUGCGCCUGGGGAUACGGUCGCAAGACUGAA